rnacentral:misc_RNA from 1 species
GAUGAAGAACGUAACGAAAUGCGAUACUUGGUGUGAAUUGCAGAAUCCCGUGAACCAUCGAGUCUUUGAACGCAAGUUGCGCCCGAAGCCACUAGGCCGAGGGCACGCCUGCCUGGGCGUCACACGUCGUUGCCCCCCACCAUCUACUCCUUCGGGAUUGCGUGGGGCGGAUGAUGGCCUCCCGUGCGCCUAGCCGCGCGGUUGGCAUAAAUACCAAGUCCUCGGCGACGCACGCCACGACAAUCGGUGGUUGCGAAACCUCGGUUGCCCGUCGUGUGCGUUCGUCGCGCAUCGAGGGCUCGAAAAAAUGCUCGGCUCCGGCUCGGCUUUCAACGCGACCCCAGGUCAGGCGGGGUUACCCGCUGAAUUUAAGCAUAUCAAUAAGCGGAGGA